CUUGAAUAUGGGAUGGACACAGCUUCAGUUGCCCUCUGGAUAGCCUUUAAAAGGAUGUGCCCAUCACAGUAUUUUUGGAUUUCUCAGCAGCCUUCAACAGCAUUGGCCUGGUAUCCCUCUUGACCAACAGGGAGGGGUUCAGAAUUAGAACACUCAUUGAGUGACCAUUCAAAGUUAUGGUGGCAUUGAACAAGGACUUGUAAUGGGUUCUCAUAUUGCAGCUGUCACAACAUCCCAUAAUCACAUGGGGUGCUUGGCAACUGGCUUGCAAUUAUAAAUCACAGUCUUCUCCAGCCAGAUUUGUGACCUUCACUGCGGGCUUCUAAUGAGCAAUGAGGAAACCAGCAGGAGAUUAUAAAUGGUAAUCUCUUGACUGGGGGAAUUCUGUGACUGCUCAGAAUUUGCCUGAUGACAGAAACUGGGAUUGCUGCAACUACUAUCAUAAGUAGUUGGUGCAUGAAGUGAUAACAUGCCUUAUAACUACGUUGCUUAGCAGAUGAGUUUACAGUUCCAAUUAUUGCUAAGCAAGGACUAUCUAUACUUCUGCUCUUACUUCAAUGGACAGUUCCACUCGAGCACCACUCCUGAAAGAGCAGGUCUAUACUCUGGGAUCCAGCUACUGCUCGAUGGUCAGAUGGAAGUUGGAGUCAGAGGACCUUUCUGCAGCAACGGCUGGUAUACAAGCUGCAGGCAUCCCUGAAGUACAAAGACCUCCUAAUGGUUAAUUCACACUGUCAUCAUCACCUGUCCAGAUUACUACAAUGUGCUUAAUAUGACACCGGCUUUGAAGAACACUCAGAAAUUUAAACUGCUCCAGAAUCCAGGUGUUGGUUGCUACAAGACAAUAUGAGGAUUUUCUUUUAUCUGUUCAUUAUGAAUAUUUUACUGUGAGAAACCUUAAACAGAGCAAAAUAUCAAAACCAACAACAAACGGUGACCUCAGCUAAAGCUCCACCAAUCAUCUGCCAGUCCAAGCACUCUCAUUUGCAUGCUGAUAUCUUAUUGGCAGCUGUGGUGCUAAAUGGAAUGAAGAAGGCGGAGCGAGGAAGACACCCUGUUGGACUUCUUUGCAACCUGCAUAUUCAUAAAGUACUGAAUUUAUGCAAUUUUAUACACUUCAAUUAAAAAACAUCCCCACCUUAUUUGCAAAUUAUUUUUAAAAACUUGGCAAAGAGAAACAUUUUAGUGAUUUCUGAAAACACCCAAUAAGACUGAGCUCAGGUGGAUCUCUUUAGGUAAAAAGUCCCAUGAAGUCAUAAUAGAUAAAAUCCUAUGAACAAGAUAUAAAUGCAUCAAAUG